rnacentral:rRNA from 1 species
ACUUCUACGGGAGGCAGCAGUAGGGAAUCUUCCACAAUGGGCGCAAGCCUGAUGGAGCAACACCGCGUGAGUGAAGAAGGGUUUCGGCUCGUAAAGCUCUGUUGUUAAAGAAGAACACGUAUGAGAGUAACUGUUCAUACGUUGACGGUAUUUAACCAGAAAGUCACGGCUAACUACGUGCCAGCAGCCGCGGUAAUACGUAGGUGGCAAGCGUUAUCCGGAUUUAUUGGGCGUAAAGAGGGUGCAGGCGGUUUUCUAAGUCUGAUGUGAAAGCCUUCGGCUUAACCGGAGAAGUGCAUCGGAAACUGGAUAACUUGAGUGCAGAAGAGGGUAGUGGAACUCCAUGUGUAGCGGUGGAAUGCGUAGAUAUAUGGAAGAACACCAGUGGCGAAGGCGGCUACCUGGUCUGCAACUGACGCUGAGACUCGAAAGCAUGGGUAGCGAACAGGAUUAGAUACCCUGGUAGGAUAGCG